rnacentral:rRNA from 1 species
GUUGAACGCUGGCGGCAUGCCUUACACAUGCAAGUCGAACGGUAACAGGUCUUUCGGGAUGCUGACGAGUGGCGAACGGGUGAGUAAUACAUCGGAACGUGCCUAGUAGUGGGGGAUAACUACUCGAAAGAGUGGCUAAUACCGCAUGAGAUCUAUGGAUGAAAGCAGGGGACCUUUGGGCCUUGUGCUACUAGAGCGGCCGAUGGCAGAUUAGGUAGUUGGUGGGAUAAAAGCUUACCAAGCCUACGAUCUGUAGCUGGUCUGAGAGGACGAUCAGCCACACUGGGACUGAGACACGGCCCAGACUCCUACGGGAGGCAGCAGUGGGGAAUUUUGGACAAUGGGCGCAAGCCUGAUCCAGCAAUGCCGCGUGCAGGAUGAAGGCCUUCGGGUUGUAAACUGCUUUUGUACGGAACGAAAAGUCUUGGGUUAAUACCCUGGGAUCAUGACGGUACCGUAAGAAUAAGCACCGGCUAACUACGUG